AUACAAUCUACCUUAUACAGGAGGAUAGCCCUAAGAAAUUGGGAUUAAUACUCCAUAGUAAUUUGAAUUCGCAUGAAUUUAAGUUUAAAACUUCGGUGGUAUAAGAUGAGUAUGCGUGAUAUUAGCUAGUUGGUAAGGUAACGGCUUACCAAGGCGACGAUAUCUAGGGGGCCUGAGAGGGUUAUCCCCCACACUGGUACUGAGACACGGACCAGACUCCUACGGGAGGCAGCAGUGAGGAAUAUUGGUCAGUGGAGGCAACUCUGAACCAGCCAUGCCGCGUGAAGGAAGAAUGUCCUAUGGAUUGUAAACUUCUUUUAUUUGGGAAGAAACCUACCCACGUGUGGGUAGCUGACGGUACCAAAAGAAUAAGGACCGGCUAACUCCGUGCCAGCAGCCGCGGUAAUACGGAGGGUCCAAGCGUUAUCCGGAAUCAUUGGGUUUAAAGGGUUCGCAGGCGGUUUAUUAAGUCAGUGGUGAAAUCUCGGGGCUCAACUCCGAAACUGCCAUUGAUACUGAUAGACUUGAAUAUAGUUGGAGUAGGCGGAAUGUGUAGUGUAGCGGUGAAAUGCUUAGAUAUUACACAGAACACCGAUAGCGAAGCAGCUUACUAAACUAUGAUUGACGCUCAUGAACGAAAGCGUGGGGAGCGAACAGGAUUAGAUACCCUGGUAGUCCACGCCGUAAACUAUGAUUACUCGAUAUUGGCGAUACACAGUCAGUGUCUAAGCGAAAGUGAUAAGUAAUCCACCUGGGGAGUACGGUCGCAAGAUUGAAACUCAAAGGAAUUGACGGGGGCCCGCACAAGCGUGGAGCAUGUGGUUUAAUUCGAUGAUACGCGAGGAACCUUACCAGGGCUUAAAUGUAGUUUGACAGGACUGGAAACAGUUUUUUCUUCGGACAAAUUACAA
rnacentral:rRNA from 1 species